rnacentral:rRNA from 1 species
AGCAGCCGCGGUAAUUCCAGCUCCAAUAGCGUAUAUUAAAGUUGCUGCAGUUAAAAAAGCUCGUAGUUGAAUUUCGGGACCAUCAUGUCGGUCGUGCCUCGGUACGUACUGGCAUUGUUGGUUUCUCCCUUCUGAAGAACCUCGAUGCCAUUAAUUUGGUGUCUUGGGGAAUCAGGACUGUUACUUUGAAAAAAAUUAGAGUGUUUAAAGCAGGCUCGCGCUUGAAUACAUUAGCAUGGAAUAAUGAAAUAGGACGUUUGAUUCUAUUUUGUUGGUUUCUAGGAUUGACGUAAUGAUUAAUAGGGAUAGUUGGGGGCAUUAGUAUUCGAUUGUCAGAGGUGAAAUUCUUGGAUUUUAUUGAAGACUAACUACUGCGAAAGCAUUUGCCAAGGAUGUUUUCAUUAAUCAAGAACGAAAGUUAGGGGAUCGAAGACGAUCAGAUACCGUCGUAGUCUUAACCAUAAACUAUGCCGACUAGGGAUCGGAUGAUGUUAAUUUUUAAUGUA